rnacentral:tRNA from 1 species
GCGGGUAUCGUAUAGUAGCAGUACAUCACCCUUCCAAGGUGAAUGCGCGGGUGCAAAUCCCGCUACCCGCU